ACCACUCAUCAAGCCAUGCUGUGGGUAGGGAAAACCCAGCCCUUCCUCCUGUGUGUCUCUCCCGUGAGUCUCCUAUACUGCCACACGGAGCAUUUCACUUCUGACACGUCUGGUCACCAAAUGUGUGGGUUUUCCCCACAACAACAGGCAAGUUUCUGACGCCAGCUGGGUGUCCUACAAUUUGUCUCAAUUCUGACACUAUCUACCUGAAGACAAUGUCAGAUCCUACAGGUUGCUUCCGUCUUGGCUGUUGUGAAUAACGCUGCAGUGAACACAGAGGUGCAUGUACCUUUGUGCAUUUGUGUUUUCAUGUUCUUUGGCAUGGCUUGACAAGCUGUGCCAUGUCCACACCCAGGAUCCAAACUGGCAAACUGCAGGCCACUGAAGCGGAACAUGUGAACUAAACUGCUGGGCCACCAGGCCAGCCCCUGCAUUUCCCUGAAGACUCCAGGUCUUGUUCUGCACUGGCCCCACCGCUGCCCUGAGGACCAGCAGAUGCCGAGACCUGAAUUCAAAGCCAGCCCCUCUGCCUGACACAUCUGUGGCUGCCUUUGGAGAACAGCUCAUCGUGAGCUUGCAAAGUGAUGCAGCCUACUUAGGGAGCACUCUGCAGAAUUGCUGACACUGAGCAGGGGCUUUGGUGGACACUGGCUCCCCACAACCCAGCCCGCCAGGUCAGACGUGUGAAAAGGGCCAUUCAGGUUCAUGAAAGGCUUGUUGACAUUAACAGUGUAGGCGAUCACUUCAGCAACAUCUGACGGUGAAAAUAACCUAUCUUCAGUCAGAGGCUGGUCCUUCUGCCCAGAAUGCCUUCUGCCCAGAAUGCCUUCUGCCCAUCCCCAGCAUCAGGCUGAGCGGGGCUGCAGGGCCCACGCCCGUCUCAGAUCUGAGCUCAGAGAGGCUCAGCUCUGAAUCCUGUGUGACCUCAGGCUGGUUACUUCACCCCUCUCAUUUUCCAUUUUCUUUCUCUCUUCUUUUUUACUUUAACUUUCAUUUUCAAUAAAAUUAAUAACAGGUACACAUUUUUAAAGGACAAAUAGAAUUACAAGGCUUAUAAUGAAGAAUGCCAGUCCCCUCCCUCCUCUCUGCCCCACCCUGGGUCCUCCCCUCAAAGGCAGCCAUUUGCACUCUUCUAGAUGUUUCUUCUGGUUCUCACCUUAUUCUGUAUCAGUGACAAGCUGUUACUGACAAUUACUGAUUUUUCACUUUUUAGAUUCGAUUCAAUCACUGCCUGUGGCGGAAAGACAAGGAUUUAGCUGUCAGACCCUCACACCGCGACACGGGAACAGUGGCUCCCCUGCCCUGUCUGCCCAGCAUGGCCAGGCCCCCUUGGUCUCUCUCCCCUGUAGCAGGGCUGUCUCCUUGUGCUACCAAAGCUCUUAAUGUCAGAUUGGUGCACCGUGCACAGUAAGCCGAUCAUGGAGUCAGGGUCCUUGGGGAUGGAGAGAGGGUUAUUCAAACUGGCCAGAACGAGAAGGCAGGAGGAUAGGUUCUCUCAAAUCCGCCUUAAUAAAAGAAGAAAGCAGGGGCUUUUUAUAGGGCCAUGGGGCUUAGGAGGAAGUGUUCUGAAGAAACAAAGGGGAAAUCCAUGUUUCUUUCACUCCAGACAAGCCCCUGGGCAGUUGGACUUCUGGCCCUCCGUGGCAGCUGGGGGCAGGUUAUCUGGUCAUCUAACUUCCUUAAAGGCCUUCUGCGCCCUCUGCAAAACAUGCUCAUAAAUCCUUGUGGCCCUCGAGAUCCCCCUCAGGUCAAACAAGAAAACAGCAAAUUGACAAAAUUAACUUCUUUUCAUGUGCGUCUGUGUUGGGGACAAGAUUGAAGGGUAAUCCUGUUCUUAUUGAAUAUUUACAGUGACCCUCAGGUACCCACUUCACAGAAGGGUGAAGUAACUUGCCUGAGGUCACACAGGAUGAAACGACCUGCUGGAUCCUUGGAGCACUUUACACAGUGCUUGGCACACAGCAGGUGCUCAAUAAAUGCAACCAUUCAGAUAUAUAAAUAUCCUCUGAAUGGCUGUAGUUUUUUGUUUUGUUUUGUUUUGGGGAGGAAGAUUGGCCCUGAGCUAACAUCUGUGGCAAUCUUCCUCUAUCUUGUAUGUGGGAUGCUGCCACAGCAUGGCUUGAUGAGCAGUGUGUAGGUCUGUGCCCGGGAUCUGAACCCACAAACCCUGUGUUGCCAAAGCAGAGUGUGCAAACUUCACCAGCACACCAGUGGGCCGACCCCUCAAGUUUAUUUUAAAAAUUAUAUUAUGAGUGGUUUCAAGCAUACACAAAAGUAGAGAAAAUAAACAGUCUGAUGAACCCACAGGGAUCCACCACCAGCUACAGGUACAUAACCCACACGCCCACGGGCAACCGCUUUAUUUAUAUUACAGUGUUUCCUUCCACAUUUCUUUCUAGCCUAAGUAAAAAUGUAUCUAUUUGUAUCUCUCUAUCUCUUUUUUGAUAGAUGAUGACAUAAUAAAUACAAAGAUCAAGCAUUUUUAAGUAAACUUUAAAAAAAUACCAAUUAUAGGGCCGGCCCAGUGGCAUAGAGGUUAAGUUCAUGGACUCUGCUUUGGCGGCCCAGGGUUCACAGGCUCGGAUCCUGGGCACAGACCUACACACUGCCCAUCAAGCCAUGUUGUGGGGCAUCCCACAUAGAAAAUAGAGGAAGGUUGGCACAGGUGUUCACUCAGGGCCAAUCUUCCUCACCAAAAAAACCCACAAGAAACAAAACCGACUACAAAUGUAGCACAAGUUUAUUUCGGAAAAUCCAAAACAGCCACACCCACCCGUAAUCUCACCACGCAGCUCUCUGCAGGGUCCGCGUUGCAGGAACAUGUGGAAACUGACAGAGAUGUAGAUAUUUCCCUACUCCCUUUUCAGUAACACGUUUAUUGAGAUGUAAUUCUCAUAGCCUAAAAUUCACCCAUCUAGAGUGGACAAUUCAGUGAUUUUUAGUAUAUUCACACAGUUAUACAACUAUCACCACCGUCUAAUUUUAGAGUGUUUUCAACAUCUGGGCAAGAAACCUGUGCCCAGGAGCCGUCACUCUCCCUUCUCUGACCCCAGUCUCUGUCCUCAGCAACCACUAAUGUGCUUUCUCUCUCUUUGGAUUUGCCAUUCUGGGCAUUUCACCUGAAUGGGAUAUAGAGUACGUGGCCUUUUGGGCUGGCUUCUCUCACUCAGCAUCAUGUUUUCAAGGUUUGUCCACACUGUAAUGUGUAUCAGUAUUUCACUCCUCUUUAUGGCCAAAUAAUAUUCCAUUGUAUUUAUAUAUUGUUUUUAACCGGGUUUUAAAAAUGACAACUUGAAAAAAAGUGUAUUAGGAAGGCAACACACACAUCAUCGCAGGCAGUCCUCUCUGAAGUGUGAGCCCUGCCAGGAGCUUCGAGAACACCGCAGGGCAUGACUUUGCCGUUCAUUCAACAAACACCCACUGAGCACCAGCUGGACCCUGCAGACCCAGAGAUGGAGCAGCCCGGGUGGAGGCCUUGCCUGGGUCUGUCCAGCAGGAGAGCCCCGCCUGAAUGCAAACACCUGAGAUCAAUGCAGAUGCCCUGAGCAGAGCUGUUAUGAAUGGGGACGCAAACCUCAGUGAUGUCAGCUGUACCUGUGACUUCAUCACCAACAGAAAUCCAGAUAUUUUCAAAUCACAUUUCGACUGAAGCAGAAAUCUCUAGAUAUCGCUUACACUCACUGCUACUUCAAAAUGAUGGAUUUCAGACUUGCAGCUUUGGUCUUGUUAUUUAAUGUGUUAAAAAGUAAAACACACUACUACAUUACAC
rnacentral:lncRNA from 1 species